rnacentral:rRNA from 1 species
UACGUAGGGUCCGAGCGUUGUCCGGAAUUACUGGGCGUAAAGCGCGCGCAGGCGGCCCGCGAGGUGUCACGUGAAAGCCCCGGGCUCAACCCGGGAGGGUCGUGGCAAACCGGCGGGCUUGAGGCCGGUAGAGGUGGGUGGAACUCCUGGUGGAGUGGUGAAAUGCGUAGAGAUCAGGAAGAACACCCGUGGCGAAGGCGGCCCACUGGGCCGGUACUGACGCUGAGGCACGAAAGCGUGGGGAGCAAACAGG